rnacentral:rRNA from 1 species
UAGGGAAUAUUAGAAAUGGACGAAAGUCUGAUCCAGCAACACCGCGUGUGCGAAGAAGGCCUUUGGGUCGUAAAGCACUUUUUGGAAGGAAUAGGAAGGAAUGUACUUCCAGAAUAAGUCUCGGCUAACUACGUGCCAGCAGCCGCGGUAACACGUAGGAGGCAAACGUUAUCCGGAUUUACUGGGCGUAAAGCGCGUGUAGGUGGUACUGUAAGUAGGGCGUGAAAGCUCCUGGCUCAACUGGGAGAGGCCGUUCUAAACUACAGAACUAGAGGAUGGUAGAGGGAGGUGGAAUUCCAGGUGUAGCGGUGGAUGCGCAGAUAUCUGGAGGAACACCGGUGGCGAAGGCGGCCUCCUGGACCAUUCCUGACACUCAGACGCGAAAGCUAGGGUAGCAAACGG